UUACCUUCUGCUCUAUGUUUAUGUUCUGUAAAGCUGCUUUGAGACAAUGUCUAUUGUAAAAAGCGCUAUACAAAUAAACUUGAAUUGAAUUGAACUACUCUGAGAAUCCUAUUCUGAUGGCAGAAAAAUUUAGGAUUUUACUUACCCUCUACACUGAUGAAUUUGAGAUUGCCAAUCCUCUUGGCGCUUCAAAAAAGAAACAAAAGAUGUCAGUGUUUACUGGGUCCUUGCCAAUCUUCCCGCUAAGUAUCGUUCUUCUCUUCAUGCAAUUUAGUUGCAAUCUUAUGCAAAGCUAGUGCAGUGAAACAGUAUGGAUAUGAAACAGGAAGUGCUUGAAAAGCUUACUGAGGCUAUGUACAAAUUUAAAGCAUAUCCCCAUGAAGUAGAUUUCAAUGAUGUUGCAUCGGCACUUGUCAAAAUACAUCCAUGCCUUUUUGUACCAGGCUCCUCCACUGGAUGGAACGGAUGGAAAAACGGUAUAAAGUUUAAAAUGGGUAAUUACAGGAGCAAACUACGGAGAGCUGGAUGCACCGAUGUUCUUGUUAAUUCAAUGAAAAGAGGGAGCCAAGAUUCUUCAAGAAAUGUCAAGAAACCCAAACGAUUCGAGAUCAACUUUCUACCCAAUAUGCCUUCUGGUGAAAGUGAAAGCAGCAUCGAAUCAAAACGAUUAGAAAUUGUGGAGGAGAUGAAGAAAUGACCUCCGAGUUCUACACUGAUAGCACAAUACAUGGACGCAACCUUUUCGCUAAGAAGAAAAGAGUUGGUUGAAAAGGAGCCUUCAGUAAAAGAGACUUUAGAAAGAUGGCCAGCAGUCUUCAGGGAAAGUCAGAUUAUUGCCGAGUUCAACCGGAUCACAAGUAAAAACCUCAAGCAAGAAUUCUUCUCAGCCCUAGAUACACAUACUUCUCAGUUUCUGGAAGUUUUCGAAUCAAAGAAAAAAGCUGGAAAAAAGCUCUCGGAGUAUCUAAUGCAAAUGAAGUCUGCAGUAAGUUUUUUUUUUUUUUAAACAAUAGUGUAAGUCCAUUUGUCAACUUUAAAGUGAUCUGUUUUCACUGUUGAUCUUGAUGUUUUAUGUAUUAUUUGUUAGAACAUCACAGAUGUCACUGCUCGACGGACAACGGUUCUCCGUGGUCUUGCUGUCCUUCUUGGGGAAGACACUACAGACUUCUUCAAAACAUGCUUUGACUGUGAUAUUGUUGCACCUCAAGUAUCGAUAGGAAUUCUCACUGUGGUGCCAGAGGACAGCCUGAUGUCUCCACAAGGUUUGCCAUUGGAGGUCACUGAUACAGCAAUAAUCUUGGAGGGUGUUAUAGCAA